UGGAAUCUGGCCAUUAUUCUCUAAACUUUUUUUUGGAGAGGCAGAGGGACGUGGGGAUCCAGGAUUCAAAUCCCGCCUCAAACGCUCCUAGCCGUGAUACUUUCCUCUCGUUGGGUCUCAGUUUCCUGUUCUGUAAAACGAGGAGUUGAGCUUCACGGGGUCCCUCCCAGCGCUGGCUCUAGGAUCCCCUAGGAUGGAAGCACGGAAGGUCUGCCUUCCCCGCCAGCCAGCCCGGCUAUCCCAUCCUUCUCCCCGCACCUCCACGCCUGCCCCCCCCAGCCCUCCUGUCCCAAGGGUAAAUUAUCUCGUGGGGCAUGGGGCGGAACGAGGAAAGGGAUUCACCCAUAACCUUGGAGACUGGGCAUCAGGAAAUAGGGCGGUUAGCGUUUUACCUCGAGCUGGCAGCCGCCACCGGGUUGCUGCGACCGGGACCACGGGCUGGGCGGGCCCUGCAGCGAUUCCACGAGCAGGAGAAAGGAGGGCAGGCGGGGUUUCCAGGCCCAGAUCCGGGGGACGGCCAGGACCAGGCUGGAUGGCGGGGCCAGGAAGAGUGCACGGAUGGAUGGACCGGCUGCUGAACCGAGGGAGGGAGGAGAAUGGGUCCAAACCAAGACUUGUUUUGCCAGAAGACACUGACUUCAACGGAACUAUUCGUCUCAGAGAAUCCAGAUGAAGGUGACCUGGUCCCCAGAAUGUUUCCUCUGCAUACUUGAGAGCAGUCCUGAACCAAAGUUUCCUUUGAAUGAAGACCAUGGCCAUCACAUCAGUCCAGACCAAUGGGCCCUCCAGCCUCUCUUAAAAGAAAGGCAUUGAGGACUCCAGACCUUCUCCAAACAGCUUUCUUUGCUGGGAAGCUUAUCUUGACAUCAGAUCUCAAGCUACCAUUUUGCACCUGCUUCGUCCACAUCACAGCCCUUCAGGUACGUGCAGACAACUCUUGUAUCCAUCCUAAAGCCUCUUCUCCUGGACAAGCAUCCCCUCUUAUCGUCCUAUUCUCUCUCCUUCCCUGUCUUGGCCAACCUCCUCCGGAUCCUAUCUAGUUGGUCAAUGUCCUCCCUUAAAUGUGGUACCCAGCAGGCAAGGCUACUUGCUCAUGGAGUCUAAGCAGGGCAGAAUGCAGAAGAACCAUGCUGUCCCUCCUCUGGAGCAGGAGGGCAGAAGAGAGGGGCAAGGAAGGAAUCUGGAGCCCCAGAAUCUCCCUCUGCUGCCUUUGUCUCUCCGGGAGACUGCCAGCAAAUCUCCUAAACCCAUCAUGCUUCUUACACAGCCUUAAAAUGAUGGAUGGGAUAGGACUUGAGGCCCUCUAGGUCUUCCAGGAUCCAGGUUUCUUUCCUUGGCUGUUGUGUACUCCCAUAGGAUGGAAGGCUCUCCACCAUUGAAACCCUCUUCAGAGAGGUGCUAGUGCAAAGGAGAUGGUGCUGAAUUUGGCAUUGAGAGAACCUGUGCUUAAACCCCACUUCUAACACUCACCAGUGUCUUAACUUUGGAUAAGCCAUUUUAAUCCUUCUGUGCCUCGGUUUCCCCUUCUUUAAAUUGAAGGGGCUGGUUUAACUGGCCUGCCAGGUCUCUUGCAGCUCUCUACUUAUAUGACCG
rnacentral:lncRNA from 1 species